rnacentral:rRNA from 1 species
AUUGAACGCUGGCGGCAUGCCUUACACAUGCAAGUCGAACGGCAGCACGGGAGCAAUCCUGGUGGCGAGUGGCGAACGGGUGAGUAAUAUAUCGGAACGUGCCCAGUCGUGGGGGAUAACGUAGCGAAAGCUACGCUAAUACCGCAUACGAUCUAUGGAUGAAAGCGGGGGAUCGCAAGACCUCGCGCGAUUGGAGCGGCCGAUAUCAGAUUAGGUAGUUGGUGAGGUAAAGGCUCACCAAGCCGACGAUCUGUAGCUGGUCUGAGAGGACGACCAGCCACACUGGGACUGAGACACGGCUCAGACUCCUACGGGAGGCAGCAGUGGGGAAUUUUGGACAAUGGGCGCAAGCCUGAUUCAGCAAUGCCGCGUGCAGGAUGAAGGCCUUCGGGCUGUAAACUGCUUUUGUACGGAACGAAACGGCGAGCUCUAAUACAGUUUGCUAAUGACGGUACCGUAAGAAUAAGCACCGGCUAACUACGUGCCAGCCGCCGCCGUAA